UUCUGAAAUUUUCCUCAGGAGAACUGGAGCACGCAAUGAAGCUGUUAUAUUCAGUAAAGCGAAUGAUUAGAGGAAUUGUGGGAUGAAACGUUUUCAAUUUACUCUCAAUGAGUAUGACGUUUCACUUGCUUGAAUAAAGCAUAGACAUUGAAUAUCUGAUGCAAAUGACCCAUUUUUGAUAAGCAGAACUGGCGCUGUGGAGUAGACCGAGUGUUAAGUUAAAGUACCUACUAGAGAAUUCGAAGUCUGAGAAUGAGAAAUAUAACCCUUUUCGGAACUAUUCAUUUUUUCGUAAUUUUUAUAAAGAGUAAAAA
rnacentral:ncRNA from 1 species